UACGAAGGGGGCUAGCGUUGUUCGGAAUUACUGGGCGUAAAGGGCGCGUAGGCGGCCCGCUUAGUCGGACGUGAAAUCCCUCGGCUCAACCGAGGAACUGCGUCCGAUACUGGCGGGCUCGAAUCCGGGAGAGGGAUGUGGAAUUCCAGGUGUAGCGGUGAAAUGCGUAGAUAUCUGGAGGAACACCGGUGGCGAAGGCGGCAUCCUGGACCGGUAUUGACGCUGAGGCGCGAAAGCCAGGGGAGCAAACGGG
rnacentral:rRNA from 1 species